rnacentral:rRNA from 1 species
UUGGAGGGCAAGUCUGGUGCCAGCAGCUGCGGUAAUUCCAGCUCCAAUAGCGUAUAUUAAAGUUGUUGCAGUUAAAAAGCUCGUAGUUGAAUUUCGGGGUCAGCAGGUUGGUCGUGCCAAUGGUAUGAACUGGCCUUGCUGAUUCCUCCCUCUUGAUGAGCCGUAAUGCCAUUAAUUUGGUGUUGCGGGGAAUCAGGACUGUUACUUUGAAAAAAUUAGAGUGUUUAAAGCAGGCAAGCGCUUGAAUACAUUAGCAUGGAAUAAUGAAAUAGGACGUUUGAUCCUAUUUUGUUGGUUUCUAGGAUUGACGUAAUGAUUAAUAGGGAUAGUUGGGGGGCAUUAGUAUUCAAUUGUCAGAGGUGAAAUUCUUGGAUUUAUUGAAGACUAACUACUGCGAAAGCAUUUGCCAAGGAUGUUUUCAUUAAUCAAGAACGAAAGUUAGGGGAUCGAAGACGAUCAGAUACCGUCGUAGUCUUAACCAUAAACUAUGCCGACUAGGGAUCGGAUGAUGUUAAUUUUUUAAUGACUCAUUCGGCGCCUUACGGGAAAC